rnacentral:rRNA from 1 species
GACGAACGCUGGCGGCGCGCUUAACACAUGCAAGUCGAGCGAUGAAAUUUCGACAGAUCCCUUCGGGGUGAAGAUGAAAUGGAUUAGCGGCGGACGGGUGAGUAACACGUGAGUAACCUGCCUUUGACAUUGGGAUAGCCUCGGGAAACUGGGAUUAAUACCAAAUGACACUAACUGAUCACAUGAUCAAUUAGUCAAAGAAAUUCGGUCAAAGAUGGACUCGCGGCUGAUUAGCUAGUUGGUGAGGUAACGGCCCACCAAGGCGACGAUCAGUAGCCGGCCUGAGAGGGUGAUCGGCCACAUUGGAACUGAGACACGGUCCAAACUCCUACGGGAAGCAGCAGUGGGGAAUAUUGCACAAUGGGGGAAACCCUGAUGCAGCGACGCCGCGUGAGCGAAGAAGGCCUUCGGGUCGUAAAGCUCUUUUAUGAGGGAAGAUAAUGACGGUACCUCAAGAAAAAGCCCCGGCUAACUACGUG